rnacentral:rRNA from 1 species
UGGGGAAUUUUGGACAAUGGGGGAAACCCUGAUCCAGCCAUCCCGCGUGUGCGAUGAAGGCCUUCGGGUUGUAAAGCACUUUUGGCAGGAAAGAAACGUCAUGGGUUAAUACCCCGUGAAACUGACGGUACCUGCAGAAUAAGCACCGGCUAACUACGUGCCAGCAGCCGCGGUAAUACGUAGGGUGCAAGCGUUAAUCGGAAUUACUGGGCGUAAAGCGUGCGCAGGCGGUUCGGAAAGAAAGAUGUGAAAUCCCAGAGCUCAACUUUGGAACUGCAUUUUUAACUACCGGGCUAGAGUGUGUCAGAGGGAGGUGGAAUUCCGCGUGUAGCAGUGAAAUGCGUAGAUAUGCGGAGGAACACCGAUGGCGAGGGCAGCCUCCUGGGAUAACACUGACGCUCAUGAACGAAAGCGUGGGGAGCAAACAGG